rnacentral:sRNA from 12 species
CCGGGAUAGGGGUACAUGGUCUUGCCACUGGCGACUCUCUGGACCUAAGCGAUAAUGCGAAAGCUAGCGACGAACUCCCGGCGUUAGACGGGGAGAGUGUCGGACGCGAUGUCCCCGCUGAC